rnacentral:rRNA from 1 species
UACGUAGGGUGCAAGCGUUGUCCGGAAUUAUUGGGCGUAAAGAGCUCGUAGGCGGUUUGUUGCGUCGGCUGUGAAAUCCCGAGGCUCAACCUCGGGUCUGCAGUCGAUACGAGCAAACUAGAGUGUUGCAGGGGAGACUGGAAUUCCUGGUGUAGCGGUGAAAUGCGCAGAUAUCGGGAGGAACACCAGUGGCGAAGGCGGCGACCUGGGCCAAUACUGACGCUGAGGUGCGAAAGCGUGGGGAGCAAACAGG